rnacentral:rRNA from 1 species
GACGAACGCUGGCGGCGUGCUUAACACAUGCAAGUCGAACGAUGAAGCGGUGCUUGCACCGUGGACUAGUGGCGAACGGGUGAGUAAUACGGGAGUGACCUACCUUUGACUCUGGGAUAAGCCUGGGAAACUGGGUCUAAUACCGGAUACGACCAAUCACUGCAUGGGGUGUUGGUGGAAAGUGUUAUGGAGUGGUUUUUGAUGGGCCCACGGCCUAUCAGCUUGUUGGUGAGGUAAUGGCUUACCAAGGCGACGACGGGUAGCCGGCCUGAGAGGGUGACCGGCCACACUGGGACUGAGACACGGCCCAGACUCCUACGGGAGGCAGCGGUGGGGAAUAUUGCACAAUGGGCGCAAGCCUGAUGCAGCGACGCCGCGUGAGGGAUGACGGCCUUCGGGUUGUAAACCUCUGUUGGCUUCGAAGAAGCGAAAGUGACGGUAGGUGCAGAGAAAGCGCCGGCUAACUACGUG